GUGGGGAAUCUUGCACAAUGGGCGAAAGCCUGAUGCAGCGACGCCGCGUGAGGGAAGAAGGCUUUCGGGUUGUAAACCUCUUUCAGAAGGGACGAAGCCACUCAGGUUAAUAGCCGAGAGGGUGACGGUACCUUCAGAAGAAGCCCCGGCUAACUACGUGCCAGCAGCCGCGGUAAUACGUAGGGGGCAAGCGUUGUCCGGAUUUAUUGGGCGUAAAGAGCGUGUAGGCGGCCAUGCAGGUCCGUUGUGAAAACUCGAGGCUCAACCUCGAGACGCCGAUGGAAACCGUGUGGCUAGAGUCCGGAAGAGGAGAGUGGAAUUCCUGGUGUAGCGGUGAAAUGCGCAGAUAUCAGGAAGAACACCCGUGGCUAAGGCGGCUCUCUAGUACGGUACUGACGCUGAGACGCGAAAGCGUGGGGAGCGAACAGGAUUAGAAACCCCGGUAGUCC
rnacentral:rRNA from 1 species